GAGAGUAUAGCUCAGUGGUAGAGCACGUGCUUAGCAUGCACAAGGUCCUGGGUUCAAUCCCCAGUACCUCCA
rnacentral:tRNA from 1 species